rnacentral:rRNA from 1 species
AUUGAACGCUGGCGGCAUGCCUUACACAUGCAAGUCGAACGGCAGCACGGGAGCAAUCCUGGUGGCGAGUGGCGAACGGGUGAGUAAUAUAUCGGAACGUGCCCAGUCGUGGGGGAUAACGCAGCGAAAGCUGUGCUAAUACCGCAUACGAUCUAAGGAUGAAAGCGGGGGAUCGCAAGACCUCGCGCGAUUGGAGCGGCCGAUAUCAGAUUAGCUAGUUGGUGGGGUAAAGGCCCACCAAGGCGACGAUCUGUAGCUGGUCUGAGAGGACGACCAGCCACACUGGGACUGAGACACGGUCCAGACUCCUACGGGAGGCAGCAGUGGGGAAUUUUGGACAAUGGGCGCAAGCCUGAUCCAGCAAUGCCGCGUGCAGGAUGAAGGCCUUCGGGUUGUAAACUGCUUUUGUACGGAACGAAACGGCCCUUUCUAAUACAGGGGGCUAAUGACGGUACCGUAAGAAUAAGCACCGGCUAACUACGUGCCAGCCGCCGCGGUAACAC